GGAUAUAAGGGAAUCUUGGCAGUGACAAUGUAAUCAACUGAUUUUUGAGGAUGGACUUAGCUGAUUUUGCUGGCGAGGCUGAUAUUCCUCUCCUCCCUUACCACUCCAUGUACAUUUCUCCUGACACUGUGUGUUCCUUCCUAGAUGGAUAAAGACAGUUCUUCCAUCAAGUAUAUAUAUAUAUAUGAGCAGUUGUGCUCCAAAUGAGCUUGUAAGAUCCAUGUUUGGAGUGAUUCCUACACUAUACCUCCCCUUCCACACAACCAGGUAGGAAGCAGAACUCAUUUUCUCAGCCU
rnacentral:snRNA from 1 species